rnacentral:rRNA from 1 species
CUCAGAACGAACGCUGGCGGCGCGUUUUAAGCAUGCAAGUCGAACGGUAACCAUCCUUCGGGAUGGCUAGAGUGGCGAACGGGUGAGUAACACGUAGGUGAUCUGCCCUUGAGUUGGGGAUAGCCCAUGGAAACAUGGGGUAACACCGAAUACGCUCGCGACCCUGUGGGGAUGUGAGGAAAAGCGCUUCGGCGCUGCUCGAGGAUGAGCCUGCGGCUGAUUAGUUAGUUGGUGGGGUAACGGCCUACCAAGGCGACGAUCAGUAGCCGGCCUGAGAGGGUGAGCGGCCACACUGGGACUGAGAUACGGCCCAGACUCCUACGGGAGGCAGCAGCUAAGAAUCUUCUACAAUGGACGAAAGUCUGAUAGAGCGACGCCGCGUGGGUGAUGAAGGCCGGAAGGUUGUAAAGCCCUUUUCUAUUCGAGGAAUAAGGUGUGGAGGCAAUGCCACACUGAUGACGGUAGGGUAGGAAUAAGCCCCGGCCAAUUACGUGCCAGCAGCCGCGGUAACACGUAUGGGGCGAGCGUUGUUCGGAAUCAUUGGGCGUAAAGGGCGCGUAGGCGGAUAUGCAAGCUUGGUGUGAAAGACCGCAGCUCAACUGCGGGAGCGCGCUGAGAACUGCAUAUCUUGAGUUCAAGAGGGGAAGCUGGAAUUCCAGGUGUAGGGGUGAAAUCUGUAGAUAUCUGGAAGAACAUCAGUGGCGAAGGCGAGCUUCUGGCUUUGAACUGACGCUGAGGCGCGAAAGCGUGGGGAGCGAACAGGAUUAGAUACCCUGGUAGUCCACGCUGUAAACGAUGUGCACUAGGUGUUGGGCCGUUGAAGGCUCAGUGCCGUAGCUAACGCGUUAAGUGCACCGCCUGGGGAGUAUGCUCGCAAGAGUGAAACUCAAAGGAAUUGACGGAGGCCCGCACAAGCGGAGGAACAUGUGGUUUAAUUCGAUGAUACGCGAGGAACCUUACCUGGGCUUAAAUGCAAAACGACGUCCCGAGAAAUCGGGAUUUCUUCGGACGGCUUGCAAGGUGCUGCAUGGCUGUCGUCAGCUCGUGCCGUGAGGUGUCGGGUUAAGUCCCAUAACGAGCGCAACCCUCAUCAUUAGUUGCCAGCGGGUAAUGCCGGGGACUCUAAUGAAACUGCCGGUGUAAACCGAGAGGAAGGUGGGGAUGACGUCAAGUCAGCACGGCCCUUAUGUCCAGGGCUACACACGUGUUACAAUGGUCGGUACAAAGGGCAGCUACCAGGCGACUGGAUGCUAAUCUCUAAAGCCGAUCUCAGUUCGGAUCGAAGUCUGCAACUCGACUUCGUGAAGGUGGAUUCGCUAGUAAUCGCGCAUCAGCCAUGGCGCGGUGAAUACGUUCCCGGG